CAUCUCGAUUUCACUGAGGAAGUGCACGUGAGUGUCGAUCGCACCCGCGGUGAGGAUCUUUCCCUCGCCGGCGAUCACGUCGGUGCUCGGCCCGAUGAGCAACUUGGGGUGCACGCCAUCCAUGAUGUCGGGGUUACCGGACUUGCCGAUCGCAACGAUGCGUCCGUCGCGAAUUCCGACGUCUGCCCGGACGAUUCCCCAGUGAUCGAGGAUCACCGUGUUGGUGAUGACGACGUCGAGAGCGCCCUGGUCGCGAGUGGUCAGGCCCUGGCCCAUCGACUCGCGGAUG
rfam:Rhodococcus erythropolis PR4 DNA, complete genome.